AUUCAUGCCCACGGAAGUUGUAUUACCUGCAUUUGACGAACCAACUUGAACAAGUUCAUUCCGGUUGGGUUCCUGAGAUUCCAAUCGCUCCAAACUAGUUGAAUCGGCGUAAUCUGCAGUUGUUAUACGCUCUUUUUCAUCCUCAUUCGAAGGUUGUUGAGGAAGCUUAACAGAAGAAGUCGUAUUAGUUGGAACGUGCUUAAUUUCGUUAGUCUGUUGAAUUGUUAGUCGCUCUGUUUUACUCAAUCCAGAAUCAACAUCUGCAUUAGACACUUGUUCGCCUUUGUCAUCAGUGGGUUGCCUUGAAACUUCUUCAGGAAGACUUGAAAGCGGCUUUUCUGUGGUGAAUGGCUUCUCUGCGGUAAGUGGAGUAGCUCCUAGACGAUAAUUUUCGGAUCGCUCAACCGAUUUAUAGAGACCAGAAUUUACUUUUUUUUCGAAAAAGUUAACCGGUAGAAGUUCUCUGUCAUUCAAAGUUGAAAUUGAUUUUCGAGCAUUACGGAUUGUUGCAAGACGAUUGCGACGCAAG